rnacentral:rRNA from 1 species
GACGAACGCUGGCGGCGUGCUUAACACAUGCAAGUCGAACGGUAGGCCCUUCGGGGUACACGAGUGGCGAACGGGUGAGUAACACGUGGGUGAUCUGCCCUGCACUUCGGGAUAAGCCUGGGAAACUGGGUCUAAUACCGGAUAGGACCACUGCCUGCAUGGGUGGUGGUGGAAAGCUUUUGCGGGGUGGGAUGGGCCCGCGGCCUAUCAGCUUGUUGGUGGGGUGAUGGCCUACCAAGGCGACGACGGGUAGCCGGCCUGAGAGGGUGACCGGCCACCCUGGGACUGAGAUACGGCCCAGGCUCCUACGGGAGGGAGCAGUGGGGAAUAUUGCACAAUGGGCGCAAGCCUGAUGCAGCGACGCCGCGUGGGGGAUGACGGCCUUCGGGUUGUAAACCUCUUUCAGCACCGACGAAGCGCAAGUGACGGUAGGUGCAGAAGAAGGACCGGCCAACUACGUGCCAGCAGCCGCGGUAA